ensembl:lncRNA
GAGUUAGAGCUUAAAAGUUUACAGUCAAUAGUAUGUGUGCUCAAUUGCAUCAUCUUUAUGUACGGUACCUUAAAAACAUACACAAAAACAGAGAAACAUUUGACUUGACUUUAUUGAUCAAGUUCUAGUCCCUUUCAUAAGGGUUUGGCAAUGGUGUUAUGGACACAGCAUCAUCUGUUUCAACAAGAACACAUUUUGUUUUAAUCAUGUCAGGCCAGACAGCAUUAACAGUUUCAGUCUUUUUAACCUGAUACAUGAAAGUACUUUGUACAUUGAUCUGUGAAUCUUUACAUACAGGCCUGUGUGAUUUAGAAAGUACCUCGACUAAAACACAACAUAGUUUAGCACACGAACAGAAUGCAGAAAUUUGAUGUGAACACACCUGUUUAAAAACAACCAAGUCAGUAACUAAACAAAAUGUACCAUCUUUCAAGCAUACAGCACUGUUGUAUCUCUUCUUUAGUCUGUCAUAGUUUUGACUGUGAUACAGAACUCCAUCAACCAAAAAACGGUUGUAAGACCAGAAGCAGUUGCUUAGAUUUCCACACAACUUUGCAAGGGCAAGCCUAUAUAACAUUUUAAUACUUUCUUGAAUCGGGGGAUGACCAAAACCUCUGACACUUUCAUUUAGUAUUUCACAAUUUUCUGUUUUUCUUUUAUUAAAGUAAAGUUCUUCAACAAAAGAUUGUACAUUUUCAUGUUCUGGGUGGAUAGUGUUCUUGGCCCUUUGUGGCAAUUCUCUCCACAACAGAAAUGUUCUAACUAUUUGUGAGGGGACACACUGUGUUCCAUGAAAAUACUUCUUAAGAGUGCCCAUAUUGGAUUCAAAUGAAAAAGUUGAUACAGCCCAUAAUGGCCCCCAGUGUUUGACACUUUGAGCACUGUGUGUUAGCAAGUGUAUAUUAAAGGUCAUGUUGUUUUUCCCAUACAGUCUUUGGAACUCAAUGACAAUUUUUUUUAAAGCAAGCUCUGCCAUCUGGAUGCUUUUGGUCUUUAUGGUAUCCUGCAAUAAAGUAUAUAUGCCAAACACCAGUAGGAACAAAUGGUUCCAAAAUCUUGCAGGGAGUAUGCCUUUCAAUACAGGUAGUGAAUAGAAAAGGAGGAAUGCUCGGCACUCUGAAGCUUUCCAGAACUUCCUUUCAGUCAGUGAUCUUGGUGUCCUAGUAAUCUCCACAGGUGGUUUGAUUUUUACAAGUCGCCUAUCAACUUCAGCCAUUUCUUUACCUAUGUACCAGGGGGAAUCACUGUUUGUUGUAUCAAACCAUAGUGUUGAGAGCUGCCGAGUGACUCCAAGGCACACAUUGUGUUGAAAUUCAGGUACAAAGCCAUUUAUCAUUUGGAAGUGUUGAAGCUGCAUUAAAGGAGAUGGCCCUUUGACUCCAAACACUGGCUCAUCAGUUGUACCUGACAUUGCAUGACUGAAAUGGUCCCUCUCAUUUCUACGUGGGGGUUCAGGUUGUUCGUAUGGAUACGAUUUACCACCUCUGUGCAAGCAAAAAUCACAGCCGUAAAAACCAUUGAACUGUUUAGUGUUGCGAAGCAAUGGACGAGCCACAGAAUCAGAGCUACAAAUCAGCACAAAUACUUUAGAAAUAUGACUGUGUCCUUGUCUGUCUUGCCAGUCAAUACCUUCAGUCUCUAAUAAUGAAGCUUCUUUCACAAAUGGUGUCAGCAAUGUUAACAUGGAUGGUUUAGUUGGCCCAAACCAUAAUGCUGACAUCAAAAAGUGCCUUUUUCUCAUUUCUGGUUCCAGUUCAAUUAUCUGGCACUGAAUCGGCCAAAUGCUGCAUUUAGAGCUUUUGAACACUGGUGCACCAUCACAAUUCCAAAUCAGAGUCAAAUCAUCUUUUCCAAGAACUCCACUGUCACACAAUUUUUGAUACUCUCCACCAGACUGUAUGUCGGUUAAAACAUCAAAGGAUCUACUUUUUUCAGUAAGAUUAACAUCAUGUUCCUGCAGAAGUUGUUUAAUCUGUGCAUGAAGGGGAAUUACAAGAAAGUAGAAGCCCUUUUUUAAACUUGUGUUGGCAUCAAAUACUGUGUUGCAAAGGGUACAAUGAGAGGGACAGUCUGCACUAAUGCCAAAGUAUGCUAAACAUUUUUCACAAUAAAAGUGAACUUCAGGCUGUGAUGAACUUCCAAAUUCUUUGUUGAAAAGGUAAUGUGAGGGUGGAAUCAGACCUGGAAACAUCAGGUUGAAGAGUUCCAGUAAAUGAGUAAGUGCUUUGCCUGUUAAAUUGUUCCGCAGCACAUACGACAUCAGCAUCAACAAACUUUCUUCCUUUGAAACAGGUGCACCGGGAUACAGGGGCUUCAUGGUUUUCACCUUCAUUACUGGCGGCAUCAAUCAAGUCCUCUUCAGAAUGUGACAGGACUUCUUCAUUCU